CCCUAGGGUGGCGGCGCACGGCGUCGGGAGGCAGAAAAAAAGAGAAGAGAGAGAGAGAGAGAAUGAAGCAGGAGGGAGAAAGGAAAUUCCGGUGACCGGAAUGGAGCGGCGGUGAAGUGCUAUGUGCUGGUUAUGUCGAUAAUGAUGAUGGUGACGGUGGCGGCGGUGGUGUUUUAUUUCCGACGAAGAAGACGAACCGGAAUCGGAAACUCAUGAAUCUGCUGCCGAAAAAAAAAACUAAUGGGAGAUA
rnacentral:lncRNA from 1 species